rnacentral:other from 1 species
UGUUUACUGAGAUGCCUGUGAUUGCUGCUAUCACACGCCCUUGAGCCUUAAAUAUAAACGACGGGUUCAGAACGAUGGAAUUGUGUGCACGACCACCACGGUGGGAAGCCUAAUAGACUGUCAGAUGAUCCCACUUGAACCUUCUGGUUCAAGGUAGAUUAGUCUCAACACUGCAUCUUGGUUGCACC